GAUGAAGAACGCAGCGAAAUGCGAUAAGUAAUGUGAAUUGCAGAAUUCAGUGAAUCAUCGAAUCUUUGAACGCACCAUGCACCCUUUGGACUGCUCCAAAGGGUAUGCUCGUUUGAGUGUCAUUGUACUCUCACACUCUCUGAUCCUUUGGAUUUGGGGAGCAGUGGACUUGGGUGCUUGCUGCUUCCUUGUGGCUCACCUGAAAUGCAUCAGUGCAUCUCUCGAUUGGACAUAGUACGGCGUGAUAAGUGUCUUCGCCGGCACCUCAUAUGAGGGUGGCCGAUCGGGAGCUCUGUGCUUUCAAACCGUCUUCGGACAACGCUGACAACUUGACCUCAAAUCGAGUAGGACUACCCGCUGAACUUAAGCAUAUCAAUAAGCGGAGGA
rnacentral:misc_RNA from 1 species